AUAGUUUCCUGGUUGGGGAGAUACAGUAUUGCAAAGAUGGCUUUCCCAGGGAGGGACUAUCUAUUGCACUCAGGAUGAACUGACCCCUGUCAUUUCCCCAAAUGUGGGAAACUGGACUGCCCAACUGUGGUAGUGGGGGACUGUAUCUCUGCUUUCUCCUG